CCUACGGGAGGCAGCAGUGAGGAAUAUUGGUCAAUGGGCGUAAGCCUGAACCAGCCAAGUCGCGUGAGGGAUGAAGGUUCUAUGGAUCGUAAACCUCUUUUAUAAGGGAAUAAAGUGUGGGACGUGUCCUGUUUUGUAUGUACCUUAUGAAUAAGGAUCGGCUAACUCCGUGCCAGCAGCCGCGGUAAUACGGAGGAUCCGAGCGUUAUCCGGAUUUAUUGGGUUUAAAGGGUGCGUAGGCGGCCUUUUAAGUCAGCGGUGAAAGUCUGUGGCUCAACCAUAGAAUUGCCGUUGAAACUGGGAGGCUUGAGUAUGUUUGAGGCAGGCGGAAUGCGUGGUGUAGCGGUGAAAUGCUUAGAUAUCACGCAGAACCACGAUUGCGAAGGCAGCCUGCCAAACCAUGACUGACGCUGAUGCACGAAAGCGUGGGGAUCAAACAGGAUUAGAUACCCCAGUAGUC
rnacentral:rRNA from 1 species